rnacentral:rRNA from 1 species
UACGGGGGGGGGCAAGCGUUGUUCGGAAUUACUGGGCGUAAAGGGCUCGUAGGUGGCCAACUAAGUCAGACGUGAAAUCCCCAGGCUCAACUUGGGAACUGCGUCUGAUACUGGAUGGCUUGAAUUCGGGAGAGGGAUGCAGAAUUCCAGGUGUAGCGGUGAAAUGCGUAGAUAUCUGGAGGAAUACCGGUGGCGAAAGCGGCUCACUGGGUCUUUUCUGACGCUGAUGCACGAAAGCUAGGGGAGCAAACGGG